ACGAAGGGGGCGAGCGUUGUUCGGAUUUACUGGGCGUAAAGGGCGCGUAGGCGGCCGGUCAAGUCGCGUGUGAAAGCCCCGGGCUCAACCUGGGAAUGGCGCUCGAGACUGGCGGGCUGGAGUUCGGGAGAGGAGAGUGGAAUUCCCAGUGUAGAGGUGAAAUUCGUAGAUAUUGGGAAGAACACCGGUGGCGAAGGCGGCUCUCUGGACCGAGACUGACGCUGAGGCGCGAAAGCGUGGGGAGCAAACAGGA
rnacentral:rRNA from 1 species